GAUGAACGCUAGCUACAGGCUUAACACAUGCAAGUCGAGGGGUAGCAGGGUAGCAAUACCGCUGACGACCGGCGCACGGGUGAGUAACACGUAUCCAACCUUCCCACAACUCAGGAAUAGCCUUUCGAAAGAAAGAUUAAUACCUGAUAGUACUUAACAAAGGCAUCUUUGAUAAGUUAAAGAUUAAUCGGUUAUGGAUGGGGAUGCGUUCCAUUAGAUAGUUGGUGAGGUAACGGCUCACCAAGUCUUCGAUGGAUAGGGGUUCUGAGAGGAAGGUCCCCCACAUUGGUACUGAGACACGGACCAAACUCCUACGGGAGGCAGCAGUGAGGAAUAUUGGUCAAUGGGCGAGAGCCUGAACCAGCCAAGUAGCGUGAAGGAUGAAGGUCCUAUGGAUUGUAAACUUCUUUUAUAGUAGAAUAAAGUGACCUACGUGUAGGUUUUGUAUGUAUACUAUGAAUAAGGAUCGGCUAACUCCGUGCCAGCAGCCGCGGUAAAAUAGCGU
rnacentral:rRNA from 1 species